GUUUUCAUUUUGAUUGCUUCUAUAUUUGUACAUAUCAAUAAAGCAUACUGAAAUCUGUGACUUUUGCUUGUAGAUUUGGUACUUUGGCAAGUCUGAGCACAGUUUGAGAGACUGUUGAGAUCUCUUCUGGAACUCUGGAAAAAAGCAGAUGAGACACAUCUGAGAAUCAGGAAACCUAUGCAAAAACCUCAAUUUGCACUCCAUUUGACAUCAUUGGAGAUCUUGGGGAAACAGUUGAGAUAUUAGAGAGAUGUCCUAUGUGGUUUUUCCAUCAAGUGCUGUGCUAUUUAUCCUCUAUCUGAACAAUAGAGGAAACAUGAACUUCAGGGGACA
rnacentral:lncRNA from 1 species